rnacentral:rRNA from 1 species
UACGUAGGGGGCUAGCGUUGUCCGGAUUUAUUGGGCGUAAAGAGCGUGUAGGCGGCCAUGUAGGUCCGGUGUGAAAACUCGAGGCUUAACCUCGAGAUGUCAUCGGAAACCAUUUGGCUAGAGUCCGGAAGAGGAGAGUGGAACUCCUGGUGUAGCGGUGGAAUGCGCAGAUAUCAGGAAGAACACCAACGGCGAAGGCAGCUCGCUGGGACGGUACUGACGCUGGAGACGCGAAAGCGUGGG